AUUGAACGCUGGCGGAAUGCUUUACACAUGCAGGUCGAACGGCAGCACGGGGGCAACCCUGGUGGCGAGUGGCGAACGGGUGAGUAACACAUCGGAACGUGCCCAGUCGUGGGGGAUAACGUAGCGAAAGCUACGCUAAUACCGCAUACGAACUCUGGUUGAAAGCGGGGGACCGCAAGGCCUCGCGCGAUUGGAGCGGCCGAUGGCAGAUUAGGUAGUUGGUGGGGUAAAGGCNCACCAAGCCGACGAUCUGUAGCUGGUCUGAGAGGACGACCAGCCACACUGGGACUGAGACACGGCCCAGACUCCUACGGGAGGCAGCAGUGGGGAAUUUUGGACAAUGGGCGCAAGCCUGAUCCAGCCAUUCCGCGUGCAGGAUGAAGGCCCUCGGGUUGUAAACUGCUUUUGUACGGAACGAAAAGGUCUGAGUUAAUACCUCGGGCUGAUGACGGUACCGUAAGAAUAAGCA
rnacentral:rRNA from 1 species